UAAUUAGAGAGAUGUGUGACGUGUUAAAGGAUUUAAGCGACUCGGGACAAAUUACAAAUGGUGUCAUUCCACUGUAAACCCUGUUCGAUCUUCACCACUAAAUAACACUGAUACAGCAAUUAUGAUUCAUAGUUUAUUUGUUAUAAAUAAUUCUGGAGAUGUGUUUAUGGAAAAACACUGGAAGAGUGUAAUCCACAAAUCGAUAUGUGACUACUUCUUUGAGGUUCAAGGAAGGGCAGUUUCCUUGGAUGAUGUCCCACCUGUCAUUGCUACACCCCAUCAUUAUCUUAUCAACAUCUAUCGCAAUCAACUAUAUUUCGUUGCAGUUGUAACAACCGAAGUGUCUCCACUUUUUGUAAUUGAAUUUCUGCACAGAGUCUUUGAUACAUUUGAAGAUUAUUUUGCCGAGUGUACAGAAUCAACAAUCAAAGAACAUUAUGUUAUAGUAUAUGAGCUUCUUGAUGAAAUGCUGGACAAUGGCUUUCCAUUGGCAGUAGAAUCCAAUGUUCUCAAGGAGCUGAUUAAACCCCCCAACUUCCUGAGGACGAUCACCGACACUGUCACUGGUAAAUCUACUGGAGUCAGUGGAAUACUGCCAACAGGACAGCUUUCUAACAUUCCCUGGAGAAGGACAGGUGUCAAAUAUACCAAUAACGAGGCGUAUUUUGAUGUCAUUGAGGAAAUUGAUGCCAUCCUUGACAAAUCGGGUGCAACAGUCUUUGCAGAAAUCCAAGGAUAUAUUGAUUGUUUGAUCAAGCUUAGCGGCAUGCCUGACCUAACAUUGUCUUUCAUGAAUCCACGCUUGUUAGAUGAUGUUAGUUUCCAUCCGUGUGUUCGUUUUAAGAGAUGGGAAAGUGAGCGAGUUCUUUCUUUUGUUCCUCCUGAUGGUAACUUUAGACUCAUCUCCUAUCAUAUAGGAGCUCAAAAAUUAAAUAGUAGAUUGUGUAUGGUAGCCAUUCCUAUCUAUGUACGACACACAAUAUCAUUUCGAGAAGGUGCUGCUGGACGCUUUGAUGUUACUAUUGGACCAAAACAAGCCAUGGGAAAAACAAUUGAAAAUGUUGUGGUUGAAGUGUUAUUUCCAAAAUCAAUCCUAAAUGUGACCCUCACCCCAAACCAGGGAAAAUAUUCAUUUGACCCUGUUACCAAGAUGAUGACCUGGGAUGUUGGCAAAAUUGACCCGACCAAACUUCCAAAUAUCAAAGGAACAAUAAAUUUACAAACUGGUUCUCCGGUACCGGAAUCUAAUCCAACAAUAUCAGUACAGUUUUCCAUUAGUCAAUGGGCCAUCUCAGGUGUAAAAGUUAACAGACUUGAUAUGUAUGGAGAGGAUAAAAUCCCCAAAUUUGGCAACUUUGAACUGGCUGUGACUGGGUUUAAUCAUGAAACAUUUGGAAAUAUUAAUUAAAUUUCAUUUAAUUCCUAAUGAACCAAUGAUGCCUAGCCAUCAUCAUCAUUUAAUGUCCGUUUUCCAUGCUGGCAUGGGUUGGACAGUUUGAUUGAGGUCUGGUGAGCCAGGAGGCUGCACCAGGCUCCAAUCUGAUCUGAAAUACAAACCAUUUAAAGGGGUCAAGUACGUGACGAAAGCUGGUAAAUUCCAAGUGAGGACAUGAUGCUUGUAUUUAAAUUCACCAACACAUUUCCUUGGAUGCUGAAAAGAAGCUGGAGUUGGCAGUGUCAGAUUAACUACGCAGUCCUAAGCCUAACAACUUCUGUUCUUGCAAGGAGAAGAAUGAAGUAUUCUAUUCCUCCAAACUCAUAAUUUAUCCGACCGAUGUACAAAUGUGUCUUCUGCUUCUGUGAGUUCACAGAAGCACAGCAGAUUAAAGAAUUUAUCAAUACAGA